CACACUAUCAUUAACUGAAUCCAUAGGUUAAUGAGGCGAACCGGGGGAACUGAAACAUCUAAGUACCCCGAGGAAAAGAAAUCAACCGAGAUUCCCCCAGUAGCGGCGAGCGAACGGGGAGCAGCCCAGAGCCUGAAUCAGUGUGUGUGUUAGUGGAAGCGUCUGGAAAGGCGCGCGAUACAGGGUGACAGCCCCGUACACAAAAAUGCACAUGCUGUGAGCUCGAUGAGUAGGGCGGGACACGUGGUAUCCUGUCUGAAUAUGGGGGGACCAUCCUCCAAGGCUAAAUACUCCUGACUGACCGAUAGUGAACCAGUACCGUGAGGGAAAGGCGAAAAGAACCCCGGCGAGGGGAGUGAAAAAGAACCUGAAACCGUGUACGUACAAGCAGUGGGAGCACGCUUAGGCGUGUGACUGCGUACCUUUUGUAUAAUGGGUCAGCGACUUAUAUUCUGUAGCAAGGUUAACCGAAUAGGGGAGCCGAAGGGAAACCGAGUCUUAACUGGGCGUUAAGUUGCAGGGUAUAGACCCGAAACCCGGUGAUCUAGCCAUGGGCAGGUUGAAGGUUGGGUAACACUAACUGGAGGACCGAACCGACUAAUGUUGAAAAAUUAGCGGAUGACUUGUGGCUGGGGGUGAAAGGCCAAUCAAACCGGGAGAUAGCUGGUUCUCCCCGAAAGCUAUUUAGGUAGCGCCUCGUGAAUUCAUCUCCGGGGGUAGAGCACUGUUUCGGCAAGGGGGUCAUCCCGACUUACCAACCCGAUGCAAACUGCGAAUACCGGAGAAUGUUAUCACGGGAGACACACGGCGGGUGCUAACGUCCGUCGUGAAGAGGGAAACAACCCAGACCGCCAGCUAAGGUCCCAAAGUCAUGGUUAAGUGGGAAACGAUGUGGGAAGGCCCAGACAGCCAGGAUGUUGGCUUAGAAGCAGCCAUCAUUUAAAGAAAGCGUAAUAGCUCACUGGUCGAGUCGGCCUGCGCGGAAGAUGUAACGGGGCUAAACCAUGCACCGAAGCUGCGGCAGCGACGCUUAUGCGUUGUUGGGUAGGGGAGCGUUCUGUAAGCCUGUGAAGGUGUACUGUGAGGUAUGCUGGAGGUAUCAGAAGUGCGAAUGCUGACAUAAGUAACGAUAAAGCGGGUGAAAAGCCCGCUCGCCGGAAGACCAAGGGUUCCUGUCCAACGUUAAUCGGGGCAGGGUGAGUCGACCCCUAAGGCGAGGCCGAAAGGCGUAGUCGAUGGGAAACAGGUUAAUAUUCCUGUACUUGGUGUUACUGCGAAGGGGGGACGGAGAAGGCUAUGUUGGCCGGGCGACGGUUGUCCCGGUUUAAGCGUGUAGGCUGGUUUUCCAGGCAAAUCCGGAAAAUCAAGGCUGAGGCGUGAUGACGAGGCACUACGGUGCUGAAGCAACAAAUGCCCUGCUUCCAGGAAAAGCCUCUAAGCAUCAGGUAACAUCAAAUCGUACCCCAAACCGACACAGGUGGUCAGGUAGAGAAUACCAAGGCGCUUGAGAGAACUCGGGUGAAGGAACUAGGCAAAAUGGUGCCGUAACUUCGGGAGAAGGCACGCUGAUAUGUAGGUGAAGUCCCUCGCGGAUGGAGCUGAAAUCAGUCGAAGAUACCAGCUGGCUGCAACUGUUUAUUAAAAACACAGCACUGUGCAAACACGAAAGUGGACGUAUACGGUGUGACGCCUGCCCGGUGCCGGAAGGUUAAUUGAUGGGGUCAGCGCAAGCGAAGCUCUUGAUCGAAGCCCCGGUAAACGGCGGCCGUAACUAUAACGGUCCUAAGGUAGCGAAAUUCCUUGUCGGGUAAGUUCCGACCUGCACGAAUGGCGUAAUGAUGGCCAGGCUGUCUCCACCCGAGACUCAGUGAAAUUGAACUCGCUGUGAAGAUGCAGUGUACCCGCGGCAAGACGGAAAGACCCCGUGAACCUUUACUAUAGCUUGACACUGAACAUUGAGCCUUGAUGUGUAGGAUAGGUGGGAGGCUUUGAAGUGUGGACGCCAGUCUGCAUGGAGCCGACCUUGAAAUACCACCCUUUAAUGUUUGAUGUUCUAACGU
rnacentral:rRNA from 1 species